AGACCCGAAACCCGGUGAUCUAGCCAUGGGCAGGUUGAAGGUUGGGUAACACUAACUGGAGGACCGAACCGACUAAUGUUGAAAAAUUAGCGGAUGACCUGUGGCUGGGGGUGAAAGGCCAAUCAAACCGGGAGAUAGCUGGUUCUCCCCGAAAGCUAUUUAGGUAGCGCCUCGUGAAUUCAUCUCCGGGGGUAGAGCACUGUUUCGGCUAGGGGGCCAUCCCGGCUUACCAACCCGAUGCAAACUGCGAAUACCGGAGAAUGUUAUCACGGGAGACACACGGCGGGUGCUAACGUCCGUCGUGAAGAGGGAAACAACCCAGACCGCCAGCUAAGGUCCCAAAGUCAUGGUUAAGUGGGAAACGAUGUGGGAAGGCCCAGACAGCCAGGAUGUUGGCUUAGAAGCAGCCAUCAUUUAAAGAAAGCGUAAUAGCUCACUGGUCGAGUCGGCCUGCGCGGAAGAUGUAACGGGGCUAAACCAUGCACCGAAGCUGCGGCAGCGACGCUUAUGCGUUGUUGGGUAGGGGAGCGUUCUGUAAGCCUGUGAAGGUGGCCUGUGAGGGUUGCUGGAGGUAUCAGAAGUGCGAAUGCUGACAUAAGUAACGAUAAAGCGGGU
rnacentral:rRNA from 1 species